UGUGGUUAUUAUAGCAAAGAGGAUACACCUGUUCCCAUUCCGAACACAGAAGUUAAGCUCUUUAGCGCCGAUGGUACUNNNN
rfam:[Clostridium] sordellii strain JGS6382 genome assembly, chromosome: 1